rnacentral:rRNA from 1 species
CCUACGGGUGACAGCAGUGGGGAAUAUUGGGCAAUGGGCGCAAGCCUGACCCAGCAACGCCGCGUGAAGGAAGAAGGCUUUCGGGUUGUAAACUUCUUUUUUCAGGGAAGAGUAGAAGACGGUACCUGACGAAUAAGCCACGGCUAACUACGGGCCAGCAGCCGCGGUAAUACGUAGGUGGCACGCGUUUUCCGGAUUUACUGGGUGUAAAGGGCGUGUAGCCGGGUUGACAAGUCAGAUGUGAAAUCCUGCGGCUUAACCGCAGAACUGCAUUUGAAACUGUUGAUCUUGAGUACUGGAGAGGCAGAUGGAAUGCCUAGUGUAGCGGUGAAAUGCGUAGAUAUUAGGAGGAACACCAGUGGCGAAGGCGGUCUGCUGGACAGCAACUGACGGUGAGGCGCGAAAGCGUGGGGAGCAAACAGGAUUAGAUACCCCUGUAGUC